GUUCUUGUGUCGUGCUCUACCCGGGACGGCUCUGGCGUGGACUUUGCUUGGCCUUGGUUGUGACCCUUUGCGGUCCCGUCUCUUGUUCGUUCUUGUUUUUUUCUUUCUUUUUCUCUUGGGUUUUUUGUCUUUUUUUGUUUUUUGGUUUGGGUUUUUCCGACCUUUCCUUGUUUGCGCCUGUGCUCUCAAGGGUUUUGUUUUUCUUCAAUAAAAUUUCUAUUUCAGCAGAU
rnacentral:lncRNA from 1 species